UACGUAGGUGGCAAGCGUUGUCCGGAUUUAUUGGGUUUAAAGGGUGCGUAGGCGGUCUAUUAAGUCAGUGCUGAAAUAUCCCGGCUUAACCGGGAGGGUGGCAUUGAUACUGAUGGACUUGAGUGCAGUCGAGGUAGGCGGAAUUGACGGUGUAGCGGUGAAAUGCUUAGAUAUCGUCAAGAACACCGAUAGUGAAGACAGCUUACUAGACUGUAACUGACGCUGAGGCACGAAAGUGUGGGGGAUCAAACAGG
rnacentral:rRNA from 1 species